rnacentral:rRNA from 1 species
UACGAAGGGUGCAAGCGUUACUCGGAAUUACUGGGCGUAAAGCGUGCGUAGGCGGUUCGUUAAGUCCGUUGUGAAAGCCCUGGGCUCAACCUGGGAAUGGCAGUGGAUACUGGCGAGCUAGAGUGUGAUAGAGGAUGGUGGAAUUCCCGGUGUAGCGGUGAAAUGCGUAGAGAUCGGGAGGAACACCAGUGGCGAAGGCGGCCAUCUGGAUCAACACUGACGCUGAGGUGCGAAAGCGUGGGGAGCAAACAGG